rnacentral:rRNA from 1 species
CAGCCGCCGCGGGAAAACGGAGGGUGCAAGCGUUAAUCGGAAUUACUGGGUGCAAAGCGUGCGUAGGCGGUUCGUUAAGUCUGUUGUGAAAGCCCCGGGCUCAACCUGGGAAUGGCAAUGGAUACUGGCGAGCUAGAGUGUGUCAGAGGAUGGUGGAAUUCCCGGUGUAGCGGUGAAAUGCGUAGAGAUCGGGAGGAACAUCAGUGGCGAAGGCGGCCAUCUGGGACAACACUGACGCUGAGGCACGAAAGCGUGGGGAGCAAACAGGAUUAGAUACCCGUGUAGUCCCUGUCUCUUAUAC